UUUUUGUGUAGCAUAUUCAACCAAGAGAUCCCCAUUGUGUGUCAGAUAAACACAUAUUUUGUUCUGGCUUUACAACAAAUUGAUAAAAACAAAAUGGGAGCCAUGUAAAAUAUGUAGUGCUUUAUUCAUUAUAGUAACUUUGUGAAGUUACUGAUUUGGUUGAUCCCACUUAUUUAUGCACUUUUUAGUUUAAAAGAAGAUAAGUUGGCUAAAGGCCUGCUGACUCCGAGAAAACAUAAGGUUACUCCAUUUUUAGUAUUUGCGCAAUUUGAAAUGUUCAUAACGGUUACUGAUUUAUCCAGAGAAAUAUAUUUUGUAUUUGUGUAUUUGUUAUUCUGAUAUAGCCAGCUUAUUUCAUUGGCUUUAAUAUUUGUCAUAUUUUCCUAUAUAUUUUUUAGUUGUUAUAAUAGAAAAGACACUGGCCUGUAUCUACUUUAUAACACUUAGAUAUUUGUGGAUGGUACUGGCAUUCAUUUGAGCAUAUUUGGCUACAGAGAAAGGAAAGCCAUGAUCGUUUAGCCUGAUAUUAUUGUUUCUAUAAUUUGAUUUUAUUGAUGUACAGGAGUGUCUUUUGAUAAGUGAAGGAGAGUAUAACCAAUUUGUAAAGGACAGUAUUUGUUUCCUUAUGUGUGUAUAUAUGUAUAUGUACAUGCACACACGGGCGCUGUCUAGAAAAAAAAUGGAUGAGAUAUUAUCUUGGGAACCUGGAAGCAAUAAUGAUUGCAAUUUAAAGUACUGCUAAAUGCUGCACACUAAAAAAAAGAAAAAAAGAUACUAUUAGCAGCUGUUUUAGCCUUAUGCUGAGAAGUAUUUUGUUUAGUGACUUUUUUUUUUUCCAGGAAAGUGAAGGAAAAAUGCAACUGUUGGAUUUUUGGACAGGAUAUACUUUGAACCAUUUGAUAUGCAGGGAUUUGCCUCUGAAGCAGGGAGUGUCUGCAUUAAAAAUGACCUGUAGUUCUCUGCUUCAUAGGUUAGAAACUUAUUUUAAUAUUUCAUGGCUAAGCACAGUCCCGUCUUUUUCCAAAAAAAAAAAAAAAACAAAACAAAACCUAAUAAUAAAUGGUUUAAUUGGCAUUGAAUGUGGACUAUAAGCAUUUUACAUUGGGG
rnacentral:lncRNA from 1 species